GGCAGAAUAGCCCAGUGGAUAGGGCAUUGGACUGGGCCUCAGGAGACCUGGAUUCUAAUCCUGGCUCUGCCG
rnacentral:tRNA from 1 species